GAUGAACGCUGGCGGCGUGCCUAAUACAUGCAAGUCGAGCGAACAGACGAGGAGCUUGCUCCUCUGACGUUAGCGGCGGACGGGUGAGUAACACGUGGAUAACCUACCUAUAAGACUGGGAUAACUUCGGGAAACCGGAGCUAAUACCGGAUAAUAUAUUGAACCGCAUGGUUCAAUAGUGAAAGACGGUUUUGCUGUCACUUAUAGAUGGAUCCGCGCCGCAUUAGCUAGUUGGUAAGGUAACGGCUUACCAAGGCAACGAUGCGUAGCCGACCUGAGAGGGUGAUCGGCCACACUGGAACUGAGACACGGUCCAGACUCCUACGGGAGGCAGCAGUAGGGAAUCUUCCGCAAUGGGCGAAAGCCUGGCGGAGCAACGCCGCGUGAGUGAUGAAGGUCUUCGGAUCGUAAAACUCUGUUAUUAGGGAAGAACAUAUGUGUAAGUAACUGUGCACAUCUUGACGGUACCUAAUCAGAAAGCCACGGCUAACUACGUG
rnacentral:rRNA from 1 species